rnacentral:rRNA from 1 species
CAAUAGCGUAUAUUAAAGUUGUUGCGGUAAAAAAGCUCGUAGUUGGAUUUCUGUUGAGAGCGACCGGUCCAUACCAUGUAUGCGUAUCUGGCUUGCUCUCGGCAUCCUCUCGAUAGACGUUACUGCGCUUGAUUGCGUGGUGCGGAUCUCGGGACUUUUACUUUGAGGAAAUUAGAGUGUUCACGGCAGGCUUUCGCCAGAAUACAUUAGCACGGAAUAAUACUAUAGGAUCUUGGUUCUAUUUUGUUGGUUUCUAGAAUUGAGAUAAUGAUUAAUAGGGACAAUUGGGGGCAUUCGUAUCAACACGUCAGAGGUGGAAUUCUUGGAUUGUGUUGCGACGAACUACUGCGAAAGCAUUUGCCAAGGAUGUUUUCAUUGA